rnacentral:rRNA from 1 species
UACGAGGGGGGCGAGCGUUGUUCGGAAUUAUUGGGCGUAAAGGGUGCGUAGGUGGCGCCAUAAGUCAGGUGUGAAAUCUCGGGGCUCAACCCCGAAACUGCAUUUGAUACUGUGGUGCUCGAGUACUGGAGAGGAGAUUGGAAUUUACGGUGUAGCAGUGAAAUGCGUAGAUAUCGUAAGGAAGACCAGUGGCGAAGGCGAAUCUCUGGACAGUUACUGACACUGAGGCACGAAGGCCAGGGGAGCAAACGGG